GAUAAACGCUGGCGGCGCACAUGAGACAUGCAAGUCGAACGGAGUGGCGGACUGGUGAGUAACGCGUAAGGAACCUACCUAUUAGAGGGGAACAACAAUGAGAAAUCAUUGCUAAUACCGCAUACUGAUAGAUGGCCUUGCGUCUGAUUAGUUAGUUGGUGGGGUAACGGCCUACCAAGACGACGAUCAGUAGCCGGACUGAGAGGUUGAACGGCCACAUUGGGACUGAGAUACGGCCCAGACUCCUACGGGAGGCAGCAGUCGGGGAUAUUGCGCAAUGGAGGAAACUCUGACGCAGUGACGCCGCGUGCAGGAAGAAGGUUUUCGGAUUGUAAACUGCUUUAGACAGGGAAGCAGUACCUGUAGAAUAAGCUCCGGCUAACUACGUGCCAGCAGCCGCGGUAAUACGUAGGGAGCGAGCGUUAUCCGGAUUUAUUGGGUGUAAAGGGUGCGUAGACGGGAAUACAAGUUAGUUGUGAAAUACCUCGGCUUAACUGAGGAACUGCAACUAAAACUAUAUUCCUUGAGUACAGGAGAGGUAAGUGGAAUUCCUAGUGUAGCGGUGAAAUGCGUAGAUAUUAGGAGGAACACCAGUGGCGAAGGCGACUUACUGGACUGAAACUGACGUUGAGGCACGAAAGUGUGGGGAGCAAACAGGAUUAGAUACCCUGGUAGUCCACACCGUAAACGAUGGAUACUAGGUGUAGGACUGUGCCGUCGCAAACGCAGUAAGUAUCCCACCUGGGGAGUACGGCCGCAAGGUUGCAACUCAAA
rnacentral:rRNA from 1 species